CUUUAAAAUGUUUCAAAAAUAUCUUUAAAAUGUUUCAAAAAUAUGAUCAGAGAUAUUAAAGAUGUGUAAAAUAUGUUCAGAUGUUUAAAGGACAAUUCCGGUAUUUUGAACAUUGAGCCCCCUUUCUGGUUUGUUUAUGAUGAAAUAGAGUGGGUGACACCGAAAUUUUAACUAUUAGUCCUUUCUCGGGUAUUUGGCUCAUUUUGAAUCGCUCCUGCCUGCUUCACAAUGGUUGUCUGUGUGCAUACACAAACCUGUCAUCCCAGCAACCCUAAACGUUCGUUUUCGAAAAUGUGCAAGUAACCGAGUGGUUAGUGGCAUUUGUGAAGUUUAAAAAAAAAUUAUCGGCGCAAUAUAUGGUUUCUGUCGUGUUUUAUUGCACAUUUAUCGCCAGUUGAUUUCAGUUGGAAGACUCAUUACUGCUCGUUGAUAUUACUCCGCCGAACCGGAAAGGUGGGCUGUUUACGUUGGUUUGAAGUCUUGUACCGUGACUUGAGCACCUCGGAUUAGGGAAAAUCAUUGAAAAUGGAAUAUGAAAGGUGGCUUCUGGAGGACGCACUCGAUUUUGAGUUUGACGGCAGAGGAUAUCGGUAUGAACCAGAAUACACCCAAGAGGAGCUACGGGAGAUGGAGGCCAGGGCUACGGAGGCGCCUGAAGCUCCGGCUGAAGCGGUCCCCAGGAUCGCGGGAAAUUGGUGGUGUGCCUGUGGGAAGUGCAGGCAGAUGCCGACGGAGCACGAAAGUAGGUGCUGCACGGAGUGGGACCUUGUCGUCACAGCUGGUAUGGCCAACCUCAAUGUCUCGGUCGACGAGACUGUGUCGCCCUGCAUCUCUCUAAAUGAAGUGCGCCAUCUCCUAAAUAAAACCGUGCUGGAGACUUUCUUCUGGGUCCCUAAAAUUAACUGGAAGAAACGCCCCACACCCGAAGGACCGAAUGGCCAACUGUCAGAUAGUCAAUACCGACUUGUGGCUUAUCGAGUCAUUCUGGAGUGGGCCCUCAAAGGUCAACCACUGGGACGAGGAAAUCGCCUUGCAUUACCCAGUUGCGUGGUGUGGGCUGUUAGGGAUGCGUUCCCAUCCCCCACUGGACAGUAUGCUGGGUUUAAUCCCAGUGAGAUAGAGGAAUUAUUCUGA
rnacentral:lncRNA from 1 species